rnacentral:rRNA from 1 species
UGCCUGGCGGCAGUAGCGCGGUGGUCCCACCUGACCCCAUGCCGAACUCAGAAGUGAAACGCCGUAGCGCCGAUGGUAGUGUGGGGUCUCCCCAUGCGAGAGUAGGGAACUGCCAGACAU